AUGAACGCUGGCGGCGUGCCUAAUACAUGCAAGUCGAGCGAACGGACGAGAAGCUUGCUUCUCUGAUGUUAGCGGCGGACGGGUGAGUAACACGUGGAUAACCUACCUAUAAGACUGGGAUAACUUCGGGAAACCGGAGCUAAUACCGGAUAAUAUUUUGAACCGCAUGGUUCAAAAGUGAAAGACGGUCUUGCUGUCACUUAUAGAUGGAUCCGCGCUGCAUUAGCUAGUUGGUAAGGUAACGGCUUACCAAGGCAACGAUGCAUAGCCGACCUGAGAGGGUGAUCGGCCACACUGGAACUGAGACACGGUCCAGACUCCUACGGGAGGCAGCAGUAGGGAAUCUUCCGCAAUGGCGAAAGCCUGACGGAGCAACGCCGCGUGAGUGAUGAAGGUCUUCGGAUCGUAAAACUCUGUUAUUAGGGAAGAACAUAUGUGUAAGUAACUGUGCACAUCUUGACGGUACCUAAUCAGAAAGCCACGGCUAACUACGUG
rnacentral:rRNA from 1 species